GAUGAAGAACGCAGCGAAAUGCGAUACCUGGUGUGAAUUGCAGAAUCCCGCGAACCAUCGAGUCUUUGAACGCAAGUUGCGCCCGAGGCCACCCGGCCGAGGGCACGCCUGCCUGGGCGUCACGCCAAAACACGCUCCCACCCCCCCUCACCGGGGGAGCGGGACGCGGCGUCUGGCCCCCCGUGCCGCGAGGCGCGGUGGGCCGAAGAUCGGGCUGCCGGCGUACCGUGCCGGGCACAGCGCGUGGUGGAUCUCUACUCGGCGCAGUGCACCCGGCGCGUAGCCGGCGCAGCGGCCCCUAAGGACCCAACGAACGGAGCGCGAGCCGCUCCGACCGCGACCCCAGGUCAGGCGGGACUACCCGCUGAGUUUAAGCAUAUCAAUAAGCGGAGGA
rnacentral:misc_RNA from 1 species